GCUAUAGGAAAUUGUUAGUGGCAGACGGGUGAGUAAUGCGUAGGAAUCUACCUAGUAGUACGGAAUAGCCAUUAGAAAUGGUGGGUAAUACUGUAUAAUCCCCGAGGGGGAAAGAUUUAUCGCUAUUAGAUGAGCCUACGUUAGAUUAGCUAGUUGGUGAGGUAAUGGCUUACCAAGGCUAUGAUCUAUAGCUGGUCUGAGAGGACGAUCAGCCACACUGGAACUGAGAUACGGUCCAGACUCCUACGGGAGGCAGCAGUGGGGAAUAUUGGACAAUGGGCGAAAGCCUGAUCCAGCUAUGCCGCGUGAGUG
rnacentral:rRNA from 1 species